rnacentral:rRNA from 1 species
UACGGCCUUAUACGUCGUAUAAUUGGAAUGAGUACAAUUUAAAUCCCUUAACGAGGAACAAUUGGAGGGCAAGUCUGGUGCCAGCAGCCGCGGUAAUUCCAGCUCCAAUAGCGUAUAUUAAAGUUGUUGCAGUUAAAAAGCUCGUAGUUGGACCUUGGACCUGGACAGGCGGUCCGCCUCACGGCGAGUACUGUCUUGCUGGGUCUUUCCUCUUGGUGAUCUGUUGUUUCGGCAGCAGGGAACCAGGACCUUUACUUUGAAAAAAUUAGAGUGUUCAAAGCAGGCUCGACGCCGGAAUAUAUUAGCAUGGAAUAAUAAAAUAGGACGUGCGGUUCUAUUUUGUUGGUUUUUGGAAUCGCCGUAAUGAUUAAUAGGGACAGUCGGGGGCAUUAGUACUCACAUGCUAGAGGUGAAAUUCUUGGAUUUUGUGAAGACUAACUUCUGCGAAAGCAUUUGCCAAGGAUGUUUUCAUUAAUCAAGAACGAAGGUUAGGGUAUCGAAAACGAUUAGAUACCGUUGUAGUCUUAACAGUAAACUAUGCCGACUAGGGAUCGGUCGAUGUUAUCUUUUUGACUCGAUCGGCACCUUACGAGAAAUCAAAGUUUUUGGGUUCUGGGGGGAGUAUGGUCGCAAGGCUGAAACUUANAGAAAUUGACGGAAGGGCACCACCAGGAGUGGAGCCUGCGGCUUAUUUUGAUUCAACACGGGGAAACU